AAGUCGUAACAAGGUUUCCGUGGUGCUCCUUCGAAGCCUUUUCACACAACGACUCUAACCAUGUGUGCAGUCCCUUUUGUUAUGAUUGAGGGCUACGUCACUGAAGUGCUGGAAUACAAAGUUCUGUAAAUCAGCAGCCGAACGGAAAACACCCUUGGUGUUCGGUUCACAGAUUAGCUAAGUGACGGUCGGUGAGAGAUUCAAAGACCGGGGGAGAUAUGGCGGGAGUAAUCCUACACUCCACUCUAUCCCCCGGACCUCUUAACAAGAAUCAUCCCUGAUGAAGAUAUAAUCGGUCUCUAUUUUAUCUAUGGAGAGGACACGUUCCGUAGGUGAACCUGCGGAAGGAUCAUUA
rnacentral:rRNA from 1 species